GCCUUGGAGUCUGCAUUGGGGACGCAGUGCCAGUGUGUGCCAUCCUGGGAGUGCAUGGGAGUGGGCCUGUUCUGCACGCAAGCGCAGAAGUGCCGUGGUCGGGCAGCUCCCGGGCUGUGUGUGCUCCUCUGCUCCCCGCGCUGGGGCGGCUGAGUCUCUGUGGUUGAUGGGCCAUGAGAGAAGUGCUUUUUUCUUGUUUAGCUAAAUAACUGGAUCUCCGCCAAUUUCCAGCUUUGGGCUGUUUUUGCUCUCUGAAUGCUGCUGCUGCUUGAAGGACUCUAUGAUUACUUCUGGGGUCGUGCCUCCUCUUGGCCAUUGAACGGAAUCACGAGGAACUGUGAUAUCAAAUAGCUGGGUGUGGAGCAAGCCGAGUGUCCCUGAGAUGGAGCCUAAGGGAAGUGCACCCGUAAAACCUCCUCAGUCUGUGGUCCCCACCCCGUGGCUGUCUCCAGUGAGUCUGCGUGGGAGGGCCUGCGCUUUGUGCUUGUGCGGUUGUCUGUCUUUGCUCACUUGCGUUGGUGAAAGGAAGAGAAGCACUUGCAUUUGCAGUUAAAUCAUGACUGUGCACUUUGGGCACCAUGGAAACAGCACAAGCCAAUUGGCCCUGCUCUCCAAGACCCUGUCUUCUAGCACAGGACAGAAGAUCAGCUCUUCACGGCCAAGGAGCGAGUCUGAUAGCAGUCCACGCCCAGAAGAGAAGCUGAGUACGAAGACAGCGGAAAGGGAGGUGGAAGGCCUGGGCUUGUCUUCUGUGUCCUUCACUUUAAGGCUGAGAUUGAAGGCAAUCUAGAACAGUCAAUGCACAGGCAGGAGGUAUGCAGGGGACCAGAAAGACAGGUGAGAGCCGCAAGGGCCGUGCGGUGGGAUGGCUUUCAAGAGUCUGUCAAAGGAAAUAGGUACCCCAUUUAAAAAGGAAAGACAGGAGACAUGCUCAGGGCCGUGGUUGAGCUGAUAUGGAGCUCAGGUUUGGAGUAGCAAAAGUUCCAGAUGGCAAUGGACCUCAUAUUUACGUUUCGAGGACCCAGUCUUUAAGGUGGCGGGAAGACCGGCCCUCCAGGUGGGCUGCGGGGAGCUGUGACCCCUCUCUGGGCAUCAGCAGAGUGGUGAGAGACAGCCCUCCAGGUCUUGACUCGGGCUUGAUAUGAGGUGAACUGCAGGACUCGGGUCCCUGACUUCAUUCCCGGCCAUGAACUUCCUCUGCUCCACCACCUGCUCCUGCCACGACGUGCUGCCUGGCCCUGAGCGAGGCCCAGAGCCACGCGGCCAGUCGGCGAUGGAUGAAACCUUCAAGAUCGUGAGCCCCACGGACCUUCUGUAGGAGCCGGUUUUCCUGGGGUACUCGUUCCAGCCACAGACGCAGACUGAUGCAGGGAGCUGCUCACCAGCGCACCCCGUGGGGCUGGGGAUGGAGGGAGGCUGUGGGCAAGGACCCGGACCCAGACUUCUGCAGGGUGGUGUGGCGGCUAGUGCGAGCUCUGCAGGUCCUGGGGAAGGCCCAGCGGCUGUCUGGGAGGGCACUGCUGCUCCUGGGCGGAGGAGACGCACUGUGGGGCGUCACUCAGAGCAGUAGGGAGCCGGAGGGAGGCCCAGAGACCAGUCCUAGGGGAGACCAAGUCCCUCUGCCCCCACCCUCACCCAGCAGAGCUGCGCGAGUCACUGGCCAAGCCAGGCAGAGCAUGGGACAGGCUCAGCGCUGGGACACUGGCCCAGUGUGCUCGGACAGCAGAGGGCCAGCCGUGGCAGGAAGUGAGAAGUACCCAACCAGUACUUUCCUUUUAGUUUUCUUCUUUUUGUUUUUUUAAGAAGAAUAACAAGAUUUGAUGAUAGACCACCCAGAGGUCAGGCUGCCUUCCUGGGACCAGGAGGCUAAGGUGACCUGAAGAGUAAGGCCUCUUUUUCCCCAUCGGAGCUGGGAAGCCUCGCACACGGCACAGCGGCCCCCUCUUGUGGACACCGGCAUGGCCUGCA